UUAGUGGCGAACGGGUGAGUAACACGUGGGCAACCUGCCCCAGACUCUGGGAUAACCUCGGGAAACCGAUGCUAAUACCGGAUACGACCACCGAAGACAUCUUCUGGUGGUGGAAAGUUUUUUCGGUCUGGGAUGGGCCCGCGGCCUAUCAGCUAGUUGGUGGGGUAAUGGCCU
rnacentral:rRNA from 1 species